UGGGGAAUCUUGCGCAAUGGCCGAAAGGCUGACGCAGCGACGCCGCGUGGGGGAGGAAGGCCUUCGGGUUGUAAACCCCUGUUGCCCGGGACGAACAUCCUCUUUCGAGAGGACUGACGGUCCCGGGUGAGGAAGCACCGGCUAACUCUGUGCCAGCAGCCGCGGUAAUACAGAGGGUGCGAGCGUUGUCCGGAAUCACUGGGCGUAAAGGGCGCGUAGGCGGUGGGGUAAGCGUGUGGUGAAAGCUCGGGGCUCAACUCCGAGUCGGCCAUGCGAACUGCUUCACUGGAGCACACUAGAGGCGGAUGGAAUUCCGGGUGUAGCGGUGGAAUGCGUAGAGAUCCGGAAGAACACCGGUGGCGAAGGCGGUCCGCUGGGGUGUUGCUGACGCUGAGGCGCGACAGCGUGGGGAGCAAAC
rnacentral:rRNA from 1 species